UACGGGAGGCAGCAGUGAGGAAUAUUGGUCAAUGGGCGCGAGCCUGAACCAGCCAAGUAGCGUGCAGGAUGACGGCCCUAUGGGUUGUAAACUGCUUUUAUGCGGGGAUAAAGUCGGCUACGUGUAGCCGUUUGUAGGUACCGCAUGAAUAAGGACCGGCUAAUUCCGUGCCAGCAGCCGCGGUAAA
rnacentral:rRNA from 1 species